GACGAACGCUGGCGGCGUGCUUAACACAUGCAAGUCGAACGGAAAGGCCCUGCUUUUGUGGGGUGCUCGAGUGGCGAACGGGUGAGUAACACGUGAGUAACCUGCCCCUGACUUUGGGAUAACUUCAGGAAACUGGGGCUAAUACCGGAUAGGAGCUCCUGCUGCAUGGUGGGGGUUGGAAAGUUUCGGCGGUUGGGGAUGGACUCGCGGCUUAUCAGCUUGUUGGUGGGGUAGUGGCUUACCAAGGCUUUGACGGGUAGCCGGCCUGAGAGGGUGACCGGCCACAUUGGGACUGAGAUACGGCCCAGACUCCUACGGGAGGCAGCAGUGGGGAAUAUUGCACAAUGGGCGGAAGCCUGAUGCAGCAACGCCGCAUGCGGGAUGACGGCCUUCGGGUUGUAAACCGCUUUCGCCUGUGACGAAGCGUGAGUGACGGUAAUGGGUAAAGAAGCACCGGCUAACUACGUG
rnacentral:rRNA from 1 species